rnacentral:tRNA from 1 species
GCAGUGGUGGUUCAGAGGUGGAAUUCUCGCCUUCCAUAUGGAAGAUCUGGGUUUGAUUCCCAGCCAAUGAA